rnacentral:rRNA from 1 species
UGCUCGGUUCUCUAGGGAGCAUGUGCACACUUGUCAUCUUUAUAUCUCCACCUGUGAACCUUUUGUAGACCUGGAUAUCUCUCUCUGAAUCUGAGGUUUGAGGAUUGAUCUUUUGUCUUUCCUUGUGUUUUCAGGUCUAUGUUUUUCAUAUACCCCAUGUAUGUUUAUAGAAUGUAAUAAACGGGCCUUAGGUGCCUAUAAACUUAUACAACUUUCAGCAACGGAUCUCUUGGCUCUCGCAUCGAUGAAGAACGCAGCGAAAUGCGAUAAGUAAUGUGAAUUGCAGAAUUCAGUGAAUCAUCGAAUCUUUGAACGCACCUUGCGCUCCUUGGUAUUCCGAGGAGCAUGCCUGUUUGAGUGUCAUUAAUAUAUCAACCCUCUUCAGCCUUUGGCAUGUUGAGUGUUGGAUGUGGGGGAUAAUCUUUUUUUUGCUGGACUCUCUCUUGAGGUCAGCUCCCCUAAAAUACAUUAGCAAAACAAUUUGUUUACUGCUCAUUGGUGUGAUAACUAUCUACGCUGUUGACGGUAAAUCACGGUUCGCUUCUAACAGUCCAUUGACUUGGACAACCUUUUAUCAAUGUGACCUCAAAUCAGGUAGGAUUACCCGCUGAACUUAAGCAUAUCAAUAAGCGGAGGAAAAGAAACUAACAAGGAUUCCCCUAGUAACUGCGAGUGAAGCGGGAAAAGCUCAAAUUUAAAAUCUGGCAGUCUUUGGCUGUCCGAGUUGUAAUCUAGAGAAGUGCU